UAGAGGUCAAUCGAAUGCGCUGACAAAUGGUUGUUUGUAUUCCUCAUCUUCGCCGGGUAAAAAGAAGAAAAUCGCUGUAAAAUCAUUCUCAUGAUGUAAGUCUUCUAAUCGACUUAUAAAUUGUCUCCUGUAGGAAUUGAUCCUGCCAAAUCAACAGCUAGAUCUAGAAGAUCGUUUAGCUAUCUAGAGAGGCAAAAUUAGUUUUCCCAUCCUAAAGCUGAAUCAAAGAAAGAUCCAGAAGCGAUUUGAUAGAAAACCAGGUAACUCUAAUUUUUAUUAACUUUGGACUGUUGAACCUUCCUUUACCAACUCAGCAUCUUCAUGAUGCCACUCAUUAAAUGGCAUGGACCAAUAUAUGGAAAAGACAUACUAUAGACGACAUCAUUGAUCACGAAUAGCUGCAAAGCAAUCUCCCUUCUGGAAGGGCUUGGCAUAUCAAUUAAUUGACGAUGUUCCCGCUUUCACGGGGACGUCAGCUUCCCUUGGAAAGGUUUCGCUUUCUGACAUCUGUUGUGUAAUUCCCUUGGUCACAGAAUUUAUCUUUGCAUUAUCUAGGAGUAGAUGAACGAAGGUAGGAAACCAUUUUCAUAAGGACCUUUAAACUCACUAUUUCUUACCAUUUGGUGCAUGAAGUUUUCGGCCUUAAUAGAGAAUUAAUUGCUUCUCAUUUGGUAUCACAAAAUGCAGUACAAUAUACACAUAAGAAAAUGCUUGCCGAAACAGGGUACUUUGUAUAAGGUGGCUCUAUUGUGUAAGAGAUUUAUGUAGUUUAUAAUCGGUGGUUCUUUUUGUCACAUAUAUAUUGCUGAAAUUGCUUGCCGAUAAACGGGUACUUCGUAAUUCUGAAGUUGAGUGUUACUCUAAUUAAAAUAAUUUACAUCAUUUAUGUAAAAAAUAUAUUCCAGCAAUAUUUUACUCAAUUUAGAUUAUAGAUGAUGGUGUUUGGGAUACUUCAAGAUGGUAUAUAUAUUUAUUUAUUUCUUGCUCUCUCCCUGUUUAUUUUCAAUGUUGUGCAGUUAACAUGUCCAACACCGCAUCCAUCUAAAGACCCCUUAAUUAUUUCCUAUUUAUGUUAACUCUUUAUAUGUAGGCCGCUAAUGUCAUCAUGUGUAACGCAACCGCCACCAAUGUGUUGAGCGUAAGUGAGUGGCACUUUCUUGCCUGUCCUAGGUGUAACAAGAAAGGUCUUGGUGAGCAGGGUGACCUUUGGUGCACUAAAUGUGAAACCAAAGUUGAUCCAUCUCUAGGUUUAUGCUUCGCUUUGAAGUGAAGGACCACACUGGCACCACAAUCUUUGUAGCUCCGGAUAAUGAGAUCCAGAAAUUGGUACACCAAACUGAGGAUGAGUUCAUAACAGCGUCAGAGGUAAUCUAGCUAGGUCCAUGUUCACCGGUUUGAAUGUAAAAGCGGCGGUGAGGUCUGGAUUCUUAGAGAGCCUGCAUCAAUCCGUGGGAAUUCUAGAUUACUCUCAAUUCCUUCAAUAUGAAGCAGAAAGUUCCAACCGGUUUCACCCUCAACGGCGUUAACCCCUAUACUCUGCCUGUGCAUUUAAAAAUAGAACAAAGAUAUUUCUGCAUCUGUGAAAGUUGAAGGGACCUCGAACAAUGUUGGACCGCCACUAAGAAGGAUCGCCUUGAGGAAACUGUUCAAGUGGGGGAUGAUGAAGCUGAUGAAUGAUCCACCUCACCACCUGAAAUUGUUUAGUCAAUGUCAUUCUGUGUUUUGUGUUUGCUUUUUUUUCACACCAUGUUUACCAACCUAUGCAGGCCUGAUAAUAGUUAAGUUAAUUAUGGAAGUUUUAGAACUUUAGUUAUGAACGUCAUUUUCAUAUUGCAAGAUAGUAGGAUAACUUUAAUACCGUAUAUCUCAUUUUUAUAGAAUA